rnacentral:rRNA from 1 species
AAUGAACGCUGGCGGCAGGCCUAACACAUGCAAGUCGAACGGAUCCUUCGGGAUUAGUGGCGGACGGGUGAGUAACGCGUGGGAACAUACCCAAAGGUACGGAAUAGCCUCGGGAAACUGGGAGUAAUACCGUAUGUGCUCGAAAGAGGAAAGAUUUAUCGCCUUUGGAUUGGCCCGCGUUGGGUUAGGUAGUUGGUGGGGUAAUGGCCUACCAAGCCGACGAUCCAUAGCUGGUUUGAGAGGAUGAUCAGCCACACUGGGGCUGAGACACGGCCCAGACUCCUACGGGAGGCAGCAGUGGGGAAUCUUAGACAAUGGGGGAAACCCUGAUUUAGCCAUGCCGCGUGAUCGAUGAAGGCCUUAGGGUUGUAAAGAUCUUUCAGGUGGGAAGAUAAUGACUGUACCACCAGAAGAAGCCCCGGCUAACUCCGUGCCAGCAGCCGCCGCGG